UGCGUAGGUGGUUAGGUGAGACCUGUGGGAAAGACCUGGGCUUAACCCAGGAAGGUCGCAGGUGACUGCCUGGCUAGAGGGCGGGAGAGGAGCGCGGAAUUCCCGGUGUAGCGGUGAAAUGCGUAGAGAUCGGGAGGAAGGCCGGUGGCGAAGGCGGCGCUCUGGAACGUUCCUGACACUGAGGCACGAAAGCGUGGGAGCAAACAGGAUUAGAUACCCUGGUAGUCCACGCCCUAAACGAUGGGUACUAAGUGUCGGCGGGUUACCGCCGGUGCCGCACCUAACGGAGUAAGUACCCCGCCUGGGGAGUACGGCCGCAAGGUUGAA
rnacentral:rRNA from 1 species